CUACGGGGUGCUCCAGUGGGGAAUAUUGCACAAUGGGCGCAAGCCUGAUGCAGCCAUGCCGCGUGUAUGAAGAAGGCCUUCGGGUUGUAAAGUACUUUCAGCGGGGAGGAAGGGAGUAAAGUUAAUACCUUUGCUCAUUGACGUUACCCGCAGAAGAAGCACCGGCUAACUCCGUGCCAGCAGCCGCGGUAAUACGGAGGGUGCAAGCGUUAAUCGGAAUUACUGGGCGUAAAGCGCACGCAGGCGGUUUGUUAAGUCAGAUGUGAAAUCCCCGGGCUCAACCUGGGAACUGCAUCUGAUACUGGCAAGCUUGAGUCUCGUAGAGGGGGGUAGAAUUCCAGGUGUAGCGGUGAAAUGCGUAGAGAUCUGGAGGAAUACCGGUGGCGAAGGCGGCCCCCUGGACGAAGACUGACGCUCAGGUGCGAAAGCGUGGGGAGCAAACAGGAUUAGAUACCCCGGUAGUC
rnacentral:rRNA from 1 species